GCAGGAGGCCCUGUCAGCCUUUCUCCGGAGGGAGCUUUGCUCCGCUUCUCCGGGGGCCAGGGGCGGGGGUCCUGCCUGCACCCCGACCCCCGCCUGCUCUCUGAAGGCCACUCGGAGACCUUGAGCUGAGAAGGCAUAUCUGGGCCCCGGAGCCAGACCCAGCUCCCUGAAGGGCACUGAGCCCAAAGUUUCUGCGUGAAGGCUGCGUCUACUCACACGUGCCCUCUGAAAGCAGCAUUUCCUCUGGCUGGCAGUGGAAGAGGUGAAGUGACUGGAGGCAGCAGGGAACUGAACACAUCCGUGCUUGCUUUAGAGAUGAGGGCAUACACCAAGGAAGGAGGCGGCCCUCGGGAGCUGAGAACAACCUUCUGCUGGCAGCCAGCAAGAAAGGGGGUCCUCUGUCCCACAAGUGCAGGAGGGGAUUCUGCAGAUGGCAGGAAUGAGCCUGGGGGCAGAUUCCCGCUGAGCUCCAGAUGCGGGCCCAGCCCUGCGGAUGCCUGGAUCUCAGCCUCAUGGGACCCUCGGCAGAAAACCAAGCUCAGCUGUGCGCUGACUUCUACCCUGCAGAACUGAGAAGUGGUGCCCUUGGUGUCUGCGUGUGGCCUCGGAUCCUGGUUGCCCGUGUCAAAGAUGGCCCACUGGACCUGCUGGGGCCAGCCCAACCCCACCACUGGGCAGGAACUUCCCCAGGUCACCUCAAGGUGGCCUGUGGCUUUGCGAGCACCCAGUGCCUCCUCUGUGGCUCCUGGCCCCCUCUGAAGGCCCACGCCCAAGUCCAUCCUUCCGCUGGGGCCUGGGAGGUACUGGCCGCCUUUUUCUCUUCCUCCCUCCAUCAGCAUUACCCACAUUC